rnacentral:sRNA from 1 species
AACACCUCACUUCACCAUUGUAAUAUACCAUCUCUUGUUUUUAUUUUGUUUCUGUGAUGUGUUUUGUCCUGAGUACUCUCUUCCAAAUUUGGUCACACAGUGGACUAUGUGAUUUAAGUUUGGGGGAGGGCUCAGGAAGUGUGUGUUGCAUUGUCUAGAAUCUUGAGUCUGCAUUCAUUUAAGGCAUAGAAAAACAAACAAAAAAAUUGAAAAAUUUCAGAAAAUGACUUCACAAAAACAGAGUGUUCAUGUAGUUGCAUAGGGGAUAAUGAUGAAAUAGCCUUGUAAGCAUUUUGGUUCACCAAAUAAGCUCAGUGCCCUCGUUGUUAAUUGUUUGAUGCGUAGUUAAUGAAAUUGAAGUAAAACUGCACCAUGCCUAGAUUGCUCUACUCGACCACACUGUUAGGAUCUGAUACCAUUUCCUAUCAAUUUGAACUUGAAUCUGAUAUAGAAUUAUCAUGUCUUGGCAUCGAAUUUGAACUCAUGGAUACCCUAAAAUACUUGGAUUUUCUUACUCAUUUUUACCACUUUUGUUAGUCCAAGUAGCUGACUCUCCUUAUUAGAGCAGUUAACCCGAACCAAAACCUAAACUUUCUUUCAAGCCCUAUAUCACUUGUGAGUGUUUGUGAGGUCUUAUUUCGAUUGAGCUUGGUAGAAAGUGUUAGGUUCGUAACGACAGAGAGAGUAUCUCAUGUAGUUCUAGUUCGCGUUUUUCAGACUGGAUAGGACUAGAUGGGCGCUUAUAUCAUGGGUUGGGAUGUGUUUAAAAGAAAAGGGUGAGUUCAUUGUUGAUAAGGAAAGGGAAAAAAUUCUAGGGGAAGUAAGCUAAAGAAUUUAGAAAAAAAAAAUGUAGUAAUUGGGAAUGUUAAAGAAAAGAAUGAGGUUCUUGUUAGCUAAAGAAGAAGGGUUAAAAGCCUUUGGUUUUAAAGAUUAAAAACAGGAACCUUAGUUGUUAAAUAAAUCCAAAUCCGCUAGAUGUAUCAGAGUGUUGAGAAAGCUUCUCCUAGAGUUAAGAGAAAAGAAAAGAAGGAUAUGAAAAAGAGUUUAAAAGAUUCACGAGUGCAAAGGGUAGAGUUAAGUUCUUGUAUUAGGAUUGGAGUUGGGAUUACCAUUAGAGCUUCAUUGUUAUACUCUGGGUAGAUGGGAUCUUAUCUCUGUAGGCAUAGCUUGGGACUUACCUUUAGCAUUCUACUAAAGUUCAAUCAUUUUUUGAGAGAUCCCCUGUUACUGAAGCCUAUUCUGUAAGGGACCAUCUUUGUCUCUUGACCUUCACCUUAGCCAAAUGAGUUCAUUGAUGAUGCAUUGCUUGAUUCACGUUCCAGAACUAAUGAAUGUUAAAGGGAUUGGUAGAUUUGAAAGCAUGUGUAGGUCGAGUAUAGGAGACGGAUUGAUUGAUAACAAGGCAUGGCUAACGUUUUUGAGUAAAAUUCGAUCAUAUCGCAUCUUAGAACUACCAACUUGGACAUUGAUUUUAUUUGCUCUAUUUGAUGCUUUGGUUCUGAGUCCCCACCUUCAAACCUCUCCUUCAACUAUGUCUUCUUAUUUGCUUGAGGGCAAGCAAAGACUAAGUUUGGGGGAGUUGAUAUGUCUAUAAUUUGCAUGUUUUCAGUGAUCAUUCAUCAUCAUUUUGAGUCUAGUUUCAUAUCAUUCAUCACUGUUUUAUAUCAUUUCUCAUCAUUCUUGCACACUUUGCACGAUUAGGAUAGCUUUGCAUACAUAUUGCAAUCUUGAGUGGUUUUCAGGUGAUUUGGAGCUGUUGGCGAGCAAAGUGGAAGAAGCGAGCCAGAAUCAGAGGACAUACUCGACCCCCUGGUCGAGUAACUUUGGAGCCAUUCUUCCCAUCUACUCGACCUCGUGGUCGAGUAACCUCAGCUCAGGCCACUCGAUGACGCCACUCAACCCCCAGAUCGAGUAUCACUUCGCCAUACCACCUGACCACCCUCGACCGUCCACUCUACCAUAUUACUCGACCCCUAGGUCGAGUAUCAUCACUCACCACCAGAACCAUCACUCGACCAAGCACUCGAUCACAUCGUCGGAGUCUAUUCAAAUCCGCACUCAACCAGACAAGCUGAGCACAAGAAAGAGAAGGGAGAAGAAGUGUUUGGAAGCGGCCUGGAGCUCCAUCGGAUCACGACGCCCAUCUCGGCCCAUUAUCACUCUAUGGGCCGGGCGAUUAGGUUAAUGGCCCGUCUACUAUCAUUUUAUUUCGCUUUGUAUAAAUAGAUGUCUUAGGGUUCUGUCCGGAGACAUCUAGUCGACAUUGAGUUUUUGCUUCAGUUUUAUUUUCUGUUUUACUCUGGCUACGCCACUUUUGCUUCUACAAACCUGUAAUUCGAGAUUUUUGCAAGUUAUUCAGAUUCUGCAUUUGAUUUCAUCUUUCAUCUUGUUUCUCUACUCUUUAUCUCUUUACUUAUGCAAUAUUAUCAUUCACCUGCGUUUAUGUCUUUGAGCAGUAUAGAGUUCUUAAGGAUGGGAUAGAGUAGUUGUGGAAUCCGUAGUCUGUAGAAUGGUUAAGUUUUAGAAUUGAUUGAAUCCCUUCAGGACUAGUUGCGUUUACUGCUUAUUUCUUUCUGAUCAACUGGAAUUUGAUCCACUAGUUCCUGAGAUAUUCGUCUCUAUCCCAAGGGAUUGGCCGUUUAGAGCGUUUAUUGACUUUAUCAGUGUGUUCUUAUUGCCUACAUAGUUAGAUUUCGUUAAUGGGAAUUAGUCUGGGCUAGCUUUGCUUGAGGAUUUCUAUCACGGGAGUGAAUUAAUCUGUUGUUGAACCUGUUGUCUAGGGAUAGCUUGAUUGCGCUUGUUAACCAUUCGAAUAAGCUAGGAUACCACUCUAUUCGAUUACCCCAUCCUUAAGAAUUUCUCGUCUAUCUGAUUUCUCCUAUUUUAUCGUUAUCACUUAAUCGUUCUUAUUGUCUGUUUCUUAGUUUUUGCGAUUACUCGAUCAACUUACUCGACCACACCUAGUGUCUAGCAACAGACUGUGCAGUCGAGUAUAGUUGUCUCAUUUCCUGUCUGUUACUCGACCAGUAUACUCGACCACACCCAAUGUCUGGCAAUAGACUGUGCAGUCGAGUAUAUAUGUUUCAUAUCCUGUCUGUUACUCGACCACAUCCUACUUCUGGCAUCAGCCUGUUGUGGUCGAGUGAUUUUAGUAAUUCUGUUAUUGUUUCUGUUUUCUGCAUGUUCGCUUAGGACUGUUAGAAACCCCAAAACUGUUAUUGCUUGGCUUGACUUAGUGACUUCUGAUCACAUCUCAUCUGUUUUCAUCACUCCCAUUUGGAUUGACACUCUAAGUACUACAACGACAUGAUAAUGCUUUAGGAUUAAUUGACUUAAA